ACAUGUGAUCAUACAUACUUUCCGUGGGGGAAUCCAUCAGCUACAUGCAACCGUUAUGGUACAUUGAGCUCAGUGCCGAUAUGUUAUAGGCUGACCGGCAUAAGAAUUUGCAGGGCACCAACAAUUAUCACAAGAAUAACUGAGAGGCUAUUCAAUUACACUUCAGCAAAAGCACUGUGUAGCAGUCACAAUGGCACAAUUCUCUCUGAAGCGUCGUUCCACGAUGGGUGCUCAAUUGGCUUGGCAGACCGUAACAGAGUGGCGUGGAGAGGAUUACCUCUCAAGAAUAACAAGGCGUUGACUACAAAUGCUGUCCCAGUAGACCUGUCCCAACUUUUUCACGUAGUGUGCGAGAUACCCUGCCUUCCUCGACAAGAUGAUCAAAUGGAGUCUAAAACAAUGGCUGAUGAUAUCUCUUGUCGAUAUGAUG